GAGCCGCUGAGGGACUGCGCAGGAAGACCACAGAAAUAAACCAAAGGGACACCGCGGACAGAUGUACCAGAGGACACCACUGAAGUCCAGGAGAAUCUCCACCAAAACCAUCAGCGUUUUCCUUGUAGCUUUCUGUCCCUCGAAGUGGAAAGUUGAGGUUUCUGAGAAGUCCACGGAGAGAACCUGCAGCAAACUGAAGCCACAGACUCCGAAGGCAUAGGGAGAAAAAAUGCUUCCAUCCCCCUUUCACUUUAAACUUGAUCGCUUCUGGGACUUCACUGGAGGGCGGUGGAGUUGCACCAACCUGGAGUACAGGCAGAUCCCAGCGAGCACUUCCAAGUACUUUAGGACGUGGGGGUGACUCUUUUUUCUUCAGGAUUGUCCCACUUGCCACCCUUUCCAGCUGAGCUGAUAGGAACCAAUGAAAGUCUAGGCGAUGAGGAUUUUCCGUUACCUCAGGGAUCAAAGUAUAAAAUGUUGAAUGAGAAACCCGAAGACCUUGCAUCGCUGGGCUGAAUAACUUGUUUUCUUUUUUAUGGUGUCCAGACUGAGUUUUCUUUCACAUUAAAAAGUUCAACGUAUCUAGAACGGAACAAAACGGAGAAAGCAAAGAAUAAAGCAAAGAAACAUAUAUUGGGGAAAGGAUACUGUAUUCAGUAAAUUGUGCUGGAAAAAGUGGUAAGCCACAUGUAGAAGAAUGAAACUGGAUCCCCAGCUCUCACCUAAUACAAAAAUCGACUCAAGAUGCAUCAAAGACUUAAAUAUAAAACCUGAAACCUUGAAAAUUCUAGAAGAUAACACCAGAAAAACUCUUCUAAAUGUUGGCUUACGCAAAGAAUUCAUGACUAAGACACCAAAAGAAAAUGCAACAAAAACAAAAAUAAAUAAAUGGGACUCAAUUAAACUGAAAAGAUUUUGCACACCAAAUAAAUAAUCAGAAGAAUAAACAGAAAACCCACAGAAUGGAAGAAAAUAUUCACCAACUAUGCAUCUGACAAAGGACUAGUAUCCAGAAUUUACAAGGAACUCAAACAAAUAAAUGAAUUCAAAUAUCCCAUUAAAAAGUGUGCAAAGGACAUGAAUAGACAAUUGUCAAAAGAAGAUAUACAAACAGCCAAUAAACAUAAAAAAAAAUACAGCAUCGCUAGUCACCAGGGAAAUGCAAAUUAAAACCACAGUGAGAUUCCACCUUACUCCCGCAAGAAUGUCCACAAUUAAAAAGUCAGAAAACAAUAG
rnacentral:lncRNA from 1 species